UUCUUCAGGCGGCGGCACUUGGCAGACGCUCCCCGGGCCGUUCCUCCGCCUUCGCCCUGCGCCGGAAGCGGGAGACGCUCCCUAACCCCUCCCGCAGGGGGGGCGCGCAGGUAAACAUCCAAGAUGGCGGCGGCGGAGGGUCCGGACCCGGGCCCGGUGGCGGCGGCGGGGCCGGGGGUGCCGCGGGGCGCGGCGGAGGCGGACGGCGACAGGAUGGGCCUGACGGACCUGCCGGGCGAGCUGCUGGAGCUGAUCCUCUGCUGCGACGUGCUGGGAGCCGCCGACAUCGGGCGGGUGUCGUGCACCUGCCGCCGGCUGCGUGAGGCGUGCCAGCCCCGCGGCAAGGUGUGGCGGGAGCGCUUCCGCCUCAGAUGGCCAUCGCUGCUGAAGUACUACAGCCACACAGAUGGUGUUAGCUGGCUUGAAGAAUACAAAGCACGGCACAAUGCUGGCCUGGAAGCCCAGAGAAUUGUAGCUUCAUUCUCCAAAAGGUUCUUUUCAGAACAUGUCCCCUGUGAUGGGUUCAGUGACAUUGAGACUCUUGGGUGCCCAAGUCAUUUUUUUGAGGAUGAGCUGAUGUGUAUCCUUAACAUGGAAGGAAGGAAAGGUCUCACCUGGAAGUACUAUGCAAAGAAAAUUCUCUACUUCCUACGGCAGCAGAACAUCCUAAAAAACCUGAAGGAGUAUCUUCAGCGCCCGACGGAUCGGCAGUCGUUUCUGGAGGGUGCUGUUUUAAUCGAUCAGUACUGUAACCCCCUGUCAGACAUCUGCUUAAAAAGUGUCCAGGCACAAGUGGAUGAUAUCACAGACAAAGUGCGCAAAGUCCUGCGGACGAGGAACCCGAGGCACCCCAGCUUGGCUUCCAAGGCAGGAGAGGUCCUGAUUCCAGAAGUGGAGCUUCAGCGGCAGGUACUUGAUGCUAUGAAUUGUGUCCUAUAUGAGCAGUUGAAAUAUAAAGGAAACGAGCUGGAUUACUACAACUCCCUGAAUUCAUACAUUCACCAGGUUUUGAUCCGCAGGACAGGAAUUCCCAUCAGCUUGUCUGUGCUGUAUUUAACAAUUGCCAGGCAGCUGGGAGUCAAGCUUGAACCAGUGAACUUCCCUAGCCAUUUUCUGCUGCGAUGGUGUCAAGGAAAGGAAGGAAGCACUGAUAUUUUUGACUACACCUACAUUGAUGCCUUUGGGAAGGGGAAGCAGCUGACAGUGAAGGAGUGUGAGUACCUUAUUGGCCACCAUGUGACAGAAGAGUUCUAUGGAGUGGUGACUUCAAAAGAGGUCUUGCAGCGGAUGGUGGGGAAUCUCUUAAACCUUGGCAAGCGAGAAAGCACUGAUCAGUCUUAUCAACUCUUGAGAGACUCGUUGGAUCUAUACCUGGCCAUGUAUCCGGACAAUGUGCAGCAUCUAAUGCUCCAGGCUAGGUUAUACUUCCACCUGGGAAUCUGGCCAGAAAAGGUUCUGGACAUCUUGCAGCAUAUUCAGGCUUUGGACCCAUCCCAGCAUGGGGCCGUUGGGUACUUAGUUCAACAUACCCUGGAGCACAUUGAGCGGCGGAAGGAGGAGGUGGGACCCGAGGUGAAGCACCGUUCAGAUGAGAAGCACAAAGAGGUCUGCUUUUCCAUCGGGCUGAUUAUGAAACACAAGAGAGGCAAAAUUUCCACAGCCCAGAGCUCCCGAAGAAACAUCAGUAAUCAGUUUCUGAUGAGGGACCAUGGAACAGAAUCUACUUCAAAAGAGACUGUAAGAUUCCUAAGACAGCUUAUGGAUCUUUCCCUGUGCUAUUAUUAUCCCCUCUUUCUGCAUUGCACAGAGGCUUUGCAUCCCUGUCUGUACUACUCUGCCAGAGUGACAUGCCGGCCCUGUGUUGCUUCAGCUACUCCUCUGACUCGACAUGUGGAACGUAUUUGAAGGCCAUCAGCAGUGACAGUUACAAUACCUCAGGAUUAAUCACAUAAAUAUGCUGAAAAUAAUGAUGGCUUUAGUUCUGGGAGUUCAAUACUGGGAUUACCACAUCUGUGUGAUGGGCACACAAGUAAUUGCACAGCACAGUAGGAUGGUUGAUUCCUUUCCUGUUGUUUCCUGUUCUGGUUGCUGGCCUAGAGUAUCCCUCUCAUUCUCUCUUUUUCUUGCUCACGUUUGGUUUUCCUUUGUCCUCAGCUGUUUGUUCCUGUCUAUUUAUCCAGUCACUCCUGAUCAUUUCUCCAACCUCCAAAUACACAAUCUUUUUGUGCCACCUCACAGGAGGUUUCUGUCCUGUUUGUGCUGUAUUAGUCUUGAGGGAAAAGAGCUGGCUCUGGAACUCUCACAGUCUUUGAUGUGCUAUUUCUUUUAAUUAGAUAUGGCUACAACUGUGUGAUUUAUGGCUGGGAUCCUGCCUGCAUGAUGGGGCAUGAAUGGAUCCGGAAUAUGAACGUCCACAGCCUUCCACAUGGCCCCCACCAGCCUUUCUACAAUGUACUAGUGGAAGAUGGCUCUUGCAGAUAUGCUGCUCAAGAGAACCUGGAAUACAACUCUGAGCCUCGGGAGAUCCCUCACCCUGACAUCGGCCGCUAUUUCUCAGAGUUUACUGGCAUUCACUACCUAGCAAAUACCGAGCUAGAAAUUCGGUACCCAGAGGAUUUGGAGCUCACGCGUGCCACAGUUCAGAAGAUCUACAAUUCAGGCAAGGAGUGAAUGCAAAAGGCACCGUGAGGACACAAGCAGCUGGAGUGUAGCUUUACCCUCUUUGCAAAACUUGCGUGGGAGGCAAGUUUGGUGACAAUCCUUUGGCUUAAUGCAUUGAAAAUUGCAUUGAACUUUGUUAACUGGUGCUAUAGCAUCUUUCUGUUGCCUGCCUGCCCAUUCUGGCCCAAAGGCACAGGGACACAUUAGUAGUUGAGGCCAAGCUUAAGGAUCUUGCAGGGACAGUCGUGUUGAGAAGCGUGUUGUCCUCUGGAAGGAUUUGCACAUACUACUCGUUCUGUGAUUGUCUUGCCUAGAAGGUCAACUCAGUGAGAUCCCUGGUGUGGAAUAUGGAAGAAGCCCCUCUUCCAGAGAAGGAAGUCGCUUGUCCUUGCAGUGACGUGGGUUUUGUUUGGUUGUGUUUUGGGGUUUUUUUAAUGUUUUAAUCUCAUGCAGGUGAUAGUUUUUAAAGUCUCUUACGUUUCACUGUUGUCUUCUCCCGUCUGAAUUCUUGGUCAGAUUUUGCUCCACCUCUGUAGUCUGAUUGUUCAUAGAGCUACCAUUCCAAUUCUAAAUAUCCUCACGGGCCUGGGAAAGAGCCCCAGCAACAAAACCAGUAGCAGCUAAGCUUCCAGGGGUGGCCAGAGCACUGGUAACACUGAGGUCCAGUUGGCCACCUUCCUGAUGACGCAAACUCUCCUAAUGCUGAAGAUGAACUUCUAGCCCUUUCCCUUGCCUGUUAAACAUAUGCAGUCCGUGUUCUUACCUUGUUUUUCACUCUGUUCAUUGUUUAUGUCCAAGGCAGGAUCUAUGGCACAGCUGUGAGUGCUCCCAGGAUGAUUUUGAAUCUCAUGGCACUGUUGCAUGGAAGCCUUGAGGUCAGUGCCAGGGUGACUUUGAUGCAUGGGGAGCUUCCACUUGCUGCUAUGUCUCAUCUAUAGGUAUUUAUGCAAUACAGUGGGAUUGUGACUGGAAACUGGCCAACACUGGAGUCAGCCAGACUGUGUAUGGAAAAGAGAUGUGAAUUCCUGCAGCUUGAGGCCUUCUUCCUUUUUGCCAAAAGAGAAUGGAUUUUGGGGGAGUACGUAUUCCGCUGCCCAGAAAGGAAGAGCUUCAGCAGCUCAAGGCACAUGAAUUUUAACAUGACUUAAAGGCCCAGACAAAACCACUGCAGAAAAGGUUUUCCUCUGGGUUCAGGUAUUACAGGGUGCAGAGUGACACAGUGUCUGUGCAUCCCUGGAACCUGCAUAUCUUUGUGGUUUCUGAAGCAAUGUCUGUAGACUAACUGCAGUUAGUGUCUCCUGUCACUGUCCACUUGCAAUACAGUAGUUAUCUCAAAGAUGAGAAUUAGGUACUGUACCCUGUAGAGUUAGGUGGAUGCUCUUAGUCAAUUAUAGCACUUCAGGUAUCCCCACGUGAAAUCCCACAGCCCUCCUCUUAAAAGAAUGCUUGAACUGCAUGCCGUCCUAUUGGAAUACUGAGCACUGAUUAAAUAUGAGAAAUAAAUAUGGAAAGCCCAGCACUUUUGCCAGUGGAGUGGUGGUGGUGGUGUGCAGGAUCUCGGUGCUUUAGGAAGAAGAGCCCUGUGUGGUUAGUGCUGAGGAAUGGUGAAGGUGCUGUACUCGAAGUAAAACUGUGUCUUUAAAGAAAUCUGUACUGAAAUGGACUAGGAGGGAGGGAAGGAAGAAGGGACUAAAGAACUUCAAUGGAAGCAGGAAGGACCCAACUAAAAGCCACAUAAGGAGUCAUUAGGCAGAAUCCUAAAAUCUUGGAGGACCCCAGCCCUCCAACCCUAUUUGAGGGUUGAUAACAGGUUUGUAGCAGGGAUGCAAGGCUGGGAAUGGGACUGUUGAGCCAAAAGGUUGAUGCUGGUAGCUGAGAACAGGCAUGCAGCAGCAGGGCUUAGGCUCCCCAUUCCCAGCCUCAGCUUGGAUGAGGUUUGCUCUGCGACAGCAGAGAUAUUGGGGAGCUUCCUGGGGCUUUAUGCUCCCCUCUGCCAAAUGGCUGGUCUCUUGACACCUUGCCCCCUCAAGUGCAUCGAGGGAAUUGCCACAUACUGAGCUUAGAGGAAUCCUUAGCAAGAUAUGCUGCCUGAAUACUGAGUAGAAUCAGGCCAUAAAAAGCCACAGGAGUCAACAGAAAGCUACCCAAAGUUGCUCUGAAAACUGGUACUGGACAACGCGCAUGUAACCCACUUAUAAACAUACUGUGUACUUUAGGAUGAGGGUCCCAGUGUAGCAACAGAUCCCAUUAUACCCACCUUUCUGGGGCCACUCUAGGUUUAUACUCUGGAAAGAGUGAACAAGGAGCAGUGGGAACUGCUCUUCAUGAGGUUCUCGCAGUCUUCCCCCACCCACAGGCUUUAACCAUUUCCAGUUUUGCGUGGGGUGCAAGAGGAGAGUGUCACAGGCGAGGGCAGACACAUGCACAGGGAAUCCAGCAGCCCUGUAACUAAAGUCUCUCAUCCUUUCAGCAGUGUGUUACAGGUCUGUUUGCCUGCUUUGCCACACAGACCACAUCAGUGCCAACACAGCCUUGUAUGUGCCAAAUUCAGAGGAGGCUGGAGGAGUUGCAACAGGCACCACACAACAUCAGCACAGGGGCCCAGUCCAAUUCUAGGAUCCAGACAAAACCAAAGGAAGUGGUGUGUAAAGGCUGUCCUUUCUCUUCCUGUUUUGGUUUUGGCUGGGCAUGCCAGCCACCUCCUUCUGUGUUGCUGCUGGUGGGGUAGGCUGUGUUGCAUGCUACAGGUUGAGUCUUUGGUCUUGACAAGGAGGAAUUCCCAUGUAAGUAUUUAUUUGCAGCUGUGGGAGACCCCAGCCCAAGCAUCCAGUGUGGCCAAGGAAAAAGAACCACAAGGAUACCUCUCUA